rnacentral:rRNA from 1 species
CAAAGGAGCAAUCCGCUGAAAGAUGGGCUCGCGUCCGAUUAGGUAGUUGGCGGGGCAACGGCCCACCAAGCCGACGAUCGGUAGCCGGACUGAGAGGUUGAACGGCCACAUUGGGACUGAGACACGGCCCAGACUCCUACGGGAGGCAGCAGUGAGGGAUAUUGGUCAAUGGGGGAAACCCUGAACCAGCAACGCCGCGUGAGGGAAGACGGUUUUCGGAUUGUAAACCUCUGUCCUCUGUGAAGAUGAUGACGGUAGCAGAGGAGGAAGCUCCGGCUAACUACGUGCCAGCAGCCGCGGUAAUACGUAGGGAGCGAGCGUUGUCCGGAUUUACUGGGUGUAAAGGGUGCGUAGGCGGCUUUGCAAGUCAGAAGUGAAAUCCAUGGGCUUAACCCAUGAACUGCUUUUGAAACUGCAGAGCUUGAGUGGAGUAGAGGUAGGCGGAAUUCCCGGUGUAGCGGUGAAAUGCGUAGAGAUCGGGAGGAACACCAGUGGCGAAGGCGGCCUGCUGGGCUCUAACUGACGCUGAGGCACGAAAGCGUGGGUAGCAAACAGGAUUAGAUACCCUGGUAGUCCACGCUGUAAACGAUGAUUACUAGGUGUGGGUGGACUGACCCCAUCC